rnacentral:rRNA from 1 species
UACGUAGGCGGAAAAUUAAGUCAGUAGUGAAAUCCUGCAGCUUAACUGUAGAACUGUUAUUGAUACUGGUUUUCUUGAAUAUAGUUGAGGUAGGCGGAAUGUGUAAUGUAGCGGUGAAAUGCUUAGAUAUUACACAGAACACCGAUUGCGAAGGCAGCUUGCUAAACUAUGAUUGACGCUGAUGCACGAAAGCGUGGGGAGCGAACAGGAUUAGAUACCCUGGUAGUCC